rnacentral:rRNA from 1 species
GACGAACGCUGGCGGCGUGCUUAACACAUGCAAGUCGAACGGAAAGGCCCAGCUUGCUGGGUGCUCGAGUGGCGAACGGGUGAGUAACACGUGGGUGAUCUGCCCCUAACUUCGGGAUAAGCUUGGGAAACUGGGUCUAAUACCGGAUAGGACAAUCGUUUAGUGUCGGUUGUGGAAAGUUUUUUCGGUUAGGGAUGAGCCCGCGGCCUAUCAGCUUGUUGGUGGGGUAAUGGCCUACCAAGCCGUCGACGGGUAGCCGGCCUGAGAGGGUGGACGGCGACAUUGGGACUGAGAUACGGCCCAGACGCCUACGGGAGGCAGCAGUGGGGAAUAUUACACAAUGGGCGCAAGCCUGAUGCAGCGACGCCGCGUGGGGGAUGACGGCCUUCGGGUUGUAAACCUCUUUCGACAGGGACGAAGCUUUGGUGACGGUACCUGAAUAAGAAGCACCGGCUAACUACGUG